rnacentral:rRNA from 1 species
GAUGAACGCUGGCGGCGUGCCUAAUACAUGCAAGUCGAGCGAACAGACGAGGAGCUUGCUCCUCUGACGUUAGCGGCGGACGGGUGAGUAACACGUGGAUAACCUACCUAUAAGACUGGGAUAACUUCGGGAAACCGGAGCUAAUACCGGAUAAUAUAUUGAACCGCAUGGUUCAAUAGUGAAAGACGGUUUUGCUGUCACUUAUAGAUGGAUCCGCGCCGCAUUAGCUAGUUGGUAAGGUAACGGCUUACCAAGGCAACGAUGCGUAGCCGACCUGAGAGGGUGAUCAGCCACACUGGAACUGAGACACGGUCCAGACUCCUACGGGAGGCAGCAGUAGGGAAUCUUCCGCAAUGGGCGAAAGCCUGACGGAGCAACGCCGCGUGAGUGAUGAAGGUCUUCGGAUCGUAAAACUCUGUUAUUAGGGAAGAACAAAUGUGUAAGUAACUAUGCACGUCUUGACGGUACCUAAUCAGAAAGCCACGGCUAACUACAUG